rnacentral:rRNA from 1 species
UGAAUACGAGACGCUAAGGCGUCGAAGUAGUGUAUAUCAGACUUCCAAGAAAAGCUUGCACUGUCAUAGAUAAAAAAUGCCUGUACCAUAACCGACACAGGUGGGUAGGUAGAGUAUACUAAGGGGCGCGAGAUAACUCUCUCUAAGGAACUCGGCAAAAUAACUCCGUAACUUCGGGAGAAGGAGUGCCUUAUUUAUAAGGUUGCACUAACAAGAUCCAAGCAACUGUUUAUCAAAAACACAGGUCUCCGCUAAGUCGUAAGACGAUGUAUGGGGGCUGACGCCUGCCCAGUGCCAGAGGGUUAAAGAAGUUGGUUAGCAAUUGCGAAGCUGAUAACUGAAGCCCUGGUGAACGGCGGCCGUAACAAUAACGGUCCUAAGGUAGCGAAAUUCCUUGUCGGGUAAGUUCCGACCCGCACGAAAGGCGUAAUGAUUUGGAUACUGUCUCGGAGAGGGGCUCGGUGAAAUAGACUUGUCUGUGAAGAUGCGGACUACCUGCACCAGGACAGAAAGACCCUAUGAAGCUUUACUGUAACUUGAAAUUGAAAUUGGACUUUAUUCGCGCAGCAUAGGUGGGAGGCGUUGAUUAUAAUCUUGCGGGAUUAUUGGAGCCAUCAGUGAGAUACCACUCUUGUAAUGUUAGAUUUCUAACUUUGAAUCAUUAUCUGGUCAAAGAACAGUUUCAGGCGGGCAGUUUGACUGGGGCGGUCGCCUCCUAAAUGGUAACGGAGGCGUACAAAGGUUUCCUCUGAACGGUUAGAAAUCGUAUCUAGAGUGUAAAGGCAUAAGGAAGCUUGACUGUGAGACCUACAAGUCGAGCAGGGACGAAAGUCGGUCUUAGUGAUCUGACGGUACUGAGUGGAAAGGCCGUCACUCAACGGAUAAAAGUUACUCUAGGAUAACAGGCUGAUCUCCCCCAAGAGUUCACAUCGACGGGGAGGUUUGGCACCUCGAUGUCGGCUCAUCGCAUCCUGGGGCGGUAGUACGUCCCAAGGGUUGGGCUGUUCGCCCAUGAAAGCGGUACGCGAGCUGGGUUCAGAACGUCGUGAGACAGUUCGGUCCAUAUCCGGUGUAGGCGUUAGAAUAUUGAGAGGAGCCUUCUUUAGUACGAGAGGACCGAGAAGGACAUACCUCUGGUGUACCAGUUAUCGUGCCAACGGUAAACGCUGGGUAGCUAUGUAUGGAGUGGAUAACCGCUGAAAGCAUCUAAGUGGGAAGCCCACCUCAAGAUAAGUAUUCUCAUC